rnacentral:rRNA from 1 species
UACGUAGGGACCAAGCGUUGUUCGGAUUUACUGGGCGUAAAGGGCGCGUAGGCGGCCUAACAUGUCACUUGUGAAAUCUCCGGGCUUAACUCGGAAUGGCCAAGUGAAACUGUCAGGCUAGAGUGUGGUAGGGGAUACUGGAAUUCCUGGUGUAGCGGUGAAAUGCGUAGAUAUCAGGAGGAAUACCUAUGGCGAAAGCAGCUCACUGGACCAUAACUGACGCUGAUGCGCGAAAGCUAGGGGAGCAAACAGG